GAUGAAGAACGCAGCGAAAUGCGAUACUUGGUGUGAAUUGCAGAAUCCCGUGAACCAUCGAGUCUUUGAACGCAAGUUGCGCCCGAGGCCUCCUGGUCGAGGGCACGUCUGCCUGGGUGUCACGCAUCGUCGCCCCCUCUCCCCUCGGCUCGCGAGGGCGGGGGCGGAUACUGGUCUCCCGCGCGCUCCCGCUCGCGGUUGGCCCAAAAUCGAGUCCUCGGCGACGGUCGCCACGACGAGCGGUGGUUGAGGGACCCUCGGACACGGUCGUGCGCGCGCCUGUCGCCCCCGGGAUCUCCUGGACCCUCGGGCAUCGAAAUUCUAGGAUGCUCUCGUUGCGACCCCAGGUCAGGCGGGACUACCCGCUGAGUUUAAGCAUAUCAAUAAGCGGAGGA
rnacentral:misc_RNA from 1 species